rnacentral:SRP_RNA from 1 species
GCCGUGCACAGUCGCAUGUACCUGUAGUUCCAGUUACUCGGGAGGCUGAGGCUAGAGGAUCGCUUGAGUCCAGGAGUUCUGGGCUGUAGUGCGCUAUGCUGGUCGGGUGUCCGCACUAAGCUCAACAUCAAUAUGGUGACCUCCCAGGAGGGGGGGACCACCAGGUUGCCUAAGGAGGGGUGAACCGGCCCAGGUCGGAAACGGAACAGGUCAAAACUCCCUUGCUGAUCAGUAGUGGGAUCAUACCUGUGAAUAGCCACUGCACUCCAGCCUGGGCAACAUAGUGAGACCCUGUCUUU